AGUCAACGCUGGCGGUAGGCCUAACACAUGCAAGUCGAACGGCAGCACAGUAAGAGCUUGCUCUUACGGGUGGCGAGUGGCGGACGGGUGAGGAAUACAUCGGAGUCUACUUUUUCGUGGGGGAUAACGUAGGGAAACUUACGCUAAUACCGCAUACGACCUACGGGUGAAAGCAGGGGAUCUUCGGACCUUGCGCGAUUGAAUGAGCCGAUGUCGGAUUAGCUAGUUGGCGGGGUAAAGGCCCACCAAGGCGACGAUCCGUAGCUGGUCUGAGAGGAUGAUCAGCCACACUGGAACUGAGACACGGUCCAGACUCCUACGGGAGGCAGCAGUGGGGAAUAUUGGACAAUGGGCGCAAGCCUGAUCCAGCCAUACCGCGUGGGUGAAGGAGGCCUUCGGGUUGUAAAGCCCUUUUGUUGGGAAAGAAAAGCAGCAGGUUAAUACCCCGCUGUUCUGACGGUACCCAAAGAAUAAGCACCGGCUAACUUCGUG
rnacentral:rRNA from 1 species